GNCGUGGCGGACCGGAAAGUUGGAGGUGAAAUCCCAGGGCUCAACCUUGGAACUGCCUUCAAAACUAUCGGUCUGGAGUUCGAGAGAGGUGAGUGGAAUUCCGAGUGUAGAGGUGAAAUUCGUAGAUAUUCGGAGGAACACCAGUGGCGAAGGCGGCUCACUGGCUCGAUACUGACGCUGAGGUGCGAAAGCGUGGGGAGCGAACAGGAUUAGAUACCCUGGUAGUCCAAGGGCGAAU
rnacentral:rRNA from 1 species